AGCUCUUACCACAAGAUGAUGGAUUCAAAAAUAUUAGUUGACUCUAUGUCCAUGUGGGGGAAAUGACACUCUGUGAAAUUGUUGUGGGGAACACCACCGAAGUGUCACAGCUGGUAUGAAGAUAUGCUGCUUUCUAGAAUUUGCUUAAGCUUUGUCUCUUUAAGGAAGCUAAUCCCAUUAAGGACUCCUUUACCAAGUCUCCUGAAUUCUUGCCUAGGCCAGUGGAGAGAGUUAUCUGAGAGCCUUAGACCUGCAGGCAUACCAACUCCCACCGCCUUGCAGGAAGAGCUUCAGGAGUUCUGUCCUCGGUGAUUGCCUGGACUCUGUUUCUUCUGGGAACAUCAUCAUUCAUCUCUGGUUAUCAUUCCUCAGAACAAUAGUCAGGGUCUCAGAGUAAAGGCCUCACUGCAUACCUGUGGCUACUUAUCUCACGGGGCGUUUGAGAGAAUGCCCAGAUUAUGCAAGUCAGGCUAACAGGCAUCCUAUUAGCGUGAUAUGCCCUGGGUGGAUGAGUUUGGGCUGAUCGCUGGUCCCCAGGCCUAAGAUUCCCAGAAGAGUUGGGGAAAUCAGUGGCUUCUUUUUGAAUUCCCAGGCAGUGUGCCAGGUCACAAAGCAUUCCCGGUGAAGGACGAAGCCGUCUUGGGACCCAAGAGUUUGGAACACCAUCUGGGAAUUAACAAAGAGAGAAGGUUUCCAGUUCAAUGCCAUUCGAGCUGUUUUCUGCUUCAGUACUAGGGGCUUGAUAUAAAGUCCCUAGAGAAAUAGGGACAUAAGGGGAUUAUUACUGAAUCAAACAGAAAAGAAGAAGUAGGCUAAUAGGCACCUUUAGGAAAGGGAGGGAGGAAUGCUGUCCUGCUUUCAACUUAAUGGAGUCGGGUCUAAGUAGGAGGACAGUUCUGUGUCUUCAGCUUUUAGCAAGGCCGAAGCGGUUGUAAAUUGUGAUCCGUUUUCUCUCUGCCUGGCUAGGGCCUGCGUUCCUCUUUGGCUGUGUCAGUGUCACGUUGGCUCUUUCUGGCCCUACAGAUACCCUGGUUCCGCUGUGUCUUCCUCCUGGCCCUCUGGCUCUGCCACCCACAUCCAGGUUCUGCUUUGGGGUGGCCCCAUCCUAUGAUGCAGUGGGCACAUGGGACAGCUUCAGGGUCUCCACACUGCUGCCUUCCGGUCUCUCUUGGAGCCUCAGGAUCUCAUGGACCCUCUACAGAAAACUGUCUGGGGAGGCUCAGAGUCAUUUCCUUCCUCUGCUGACCACAAAGGACAGCCAGGUUUACUUUGGCAUGGCCAUUGCCAAGUUGGGCAGCUAAGAAGUGGCCAUCACUUCUAGAGUCCUGACUGGGAAGAAGGUUAGAAAUCUCUCUUCCCAUUGGCUUUCUUCAGGCUUCAGGCUUUAUUUCCAAGAGGAAAAACCGAAACAAACACACGACCACUUCAUCCUCCCUCUUUCCAUAUACCUUCUUCCCGCAAUCCCUUCAGUUAGAAGAGGCGAGAUUUUUUCCUAUUCCCUGACAUGGUAGUCACCUUUACGCAUGGAGCACAAGCCUCAGGGCUUGACUGUCAUGGGUAGAAAAAGCAGCUUCCCCAUGUUAUAAAAAACUGCAAAUUCAUCCCUCAGGCCUGACCUUGAUUUAAAGACAGGCUCUACAAAGUGCUGUCGGAAAUCCUCAUUUUUCUCUCCUCAGAAAGCCUGACUUCGUUGUCUUUCUAAACCGGGCAAGUAGGUUAAGAGAAUGCAAUAAAACAUGAUUCAAGAGAGAAAUGAAAAUGCACCCUUUUAACAUUUGCAAAACACAUGUUUAAAACUGCUCCAACCUACCCAUUCCCUUAUGGCCUCCUUGAUGUUGAAGAUUAGCGCAUAAUUACACUGACAGCAUAGGUCUGUUCUGGAAGUUGAUUCAUGCUUUACUCCAGUUGAACUAUUCAUCUUUAGUGACAAGGUAUCAGUCACCUAUGCCCCAAUCAGUGUCCACAGAAAAUGGAAACCUUAUCCCUGGGUCUUUUGGAGAGAAGUCAGUCAUUUUCAGCAUGAAGCAGGGAUCUUUAAUCCAGGAACACUAUAUGAGACAACGUGGAAAGAUACUCAAUUAGGCCAGACAUGGUGGCUCAUG